UGAGCUGUGGGCAGAAAACAAUCUGGUGUCA
rnacentral:piRNA from 1 species